rnacentral:tmRNA from 1 species
GCCCUUUGCACAUCGGCCGCGAGGGCUUAUAUGCAUCUUGUCGCUUGGUCGACUAUGGCGAUAAACGCCCGUCGGAAUAGGCGUAGCGGACCCGGGGGCAGUGCCCGGCGCCUCCACCAAUCAUCCCACCACGGGAUCUCACGGGGGCGAACCAGGAUCGACGCGCGUAGUAAAGGGCUGGCUUUCGCUCGGCAUGGUACCGCCGUUAUCGGGCCAAAAGCACAAGUGCCAACGACAAUGACGUUGCACUCGCUGCCGCCUAACACGGCAAGCGCGGCUUGAAGGGGCCGGGCAACAGAACCCUUCACG